rnacentral:rRNA from 1 species
GACGUAGGGUGCGAGCGUUGUCCGGAUUUAUUGGGCGUAAAGAGCGUGUAGGCGGCCAGGUAGGUCCGUUGUGAAAACUCGAGGCUCAACCUCGAGACGCCGAUGGAAACCAUCUGGCUAGAGUCCGGAAGAGGAGAGUGGAAUUCCCGGUGUAGCGGUGAAAUGCGCAGAUAUCGGGAAGAACACCGGUGGCGAAGGCGGGUCUCUGGGCCGAUACUGACGCUGAGACGCGAAAGCGUGGGGAGCAAACAGG